AAAACAUAAUCAAUGUUACCCCAAAUAUAUGCAAUGGAUCUCUGUCGAAGCACUGAUAAAUACUUGUACUUUGUUGUGUGCCAAUUGUAUCUAACAAGCAUGUAUGGCUAUAGCAUAUUUAAAUGAAAAUAGUGUUGCUGUUGGUGAAUUGUUCAAAUUAUAAUCUUUCCUUCCAGGUCCAACUGUGUGAGUCUUUUAGUGAAUUGUUCAAGUUAUAAUCUUUCCUUCUAGGUCCAACUGUGUGAAUGUUUUGGUGAAUUGUUCAAGUUAUAAUCUUUCCUUCUAGGUCCAACUGUGUAUAUCUUUUGGUGAAUUGUUCAAAUUAUAAUCUUUCCUUCCAGGUCCAACUGUGUGAAUCUUUUGGUGAAUUGUUCAAGUUAUAAUCUUUCCUUCUAGGUCCAACUGUAUGAAUGUUUUGGUGAAUUGUUCAAAUUAUAAUCUAUCCUCUCAGGUCCAACUGUGUGAAUGUUUUGGUGGAUUGUUCAAAUUAUAAUCUUUCCUUCCAGGUCCAACUGUGUGAAUGUUUUGGUGAAUUGUUCAAAUUAUAAUCUUUCCUUCUAGGUCCAACUGUGUGAAUGUUAUGGUGAAUUGUUAAAAUUAUAAUCUUUCCUUCUAGGUCCAACUGUGUGAAUGUUUUGGUAACAACAACUCAGCUUGUUCCUGCCCUUUCAAAAUUACUUCUUUAUGGUCUGGGAGUAGUUUUUCCAAUUGAAAAUGUCUACAGUGCCACUAAGAUAGGUAAAGAGAGCUGCUUUGAAAGAAUCGUGUCAAGAUUUGGGAGAAAAUGCACCUAUGUUGUGGUCGGAGUUGGAAGAGACGAAGAAGCAGCAGCAAAGCAGUUAAAUUUUCCGUUUUGGCGAGUCAGUGGACACUCGGACCUCGCUGCUCUACACCAUGCACUGGACCUUGGUCACUUGUGAAAACUUCCUGCUGUUACUGAUCAACGUAUCUUUGGUGACUGUGUUGCUUCUAAUUGUUCACGAGGGAGUGUGCGUAUUGGAUUAAACAGCGGUGUUUCAUACUUAACAGAAAUUCGUGACUUUAUGAAAAGAUUGCAGUGAUCGAACGGAAAAACAUCAUUCAUUGUUCACGUAUAACGAGAAACCGUGUGUUUGUUAUAUGUCUCAGAUUUGUACAGGCAGUACCAAAAUGCAUUAUAUUAUUCCAGAAGGACCACUUAAUGGUUUGUCUCCUGGGGCAUCCGUGUAGAACAGUACUGCAGAUGUAGCUUUUCAGUUAUCUCCUGGAUAAGAGUUACGUGUGUGUAAGUGUGCCCAUGUAACAGAUUGGUACAGUUACUGGUUGAUUCAAGUUACAUGUGUGUAAGUGUGCCCAUGUAACAGAUUGGUACAGUUACUGGUUGAUUCAAGUUACAUGUGUGUAAGUGUGCCCAUGUAACAGAUUGGUACAGUUACUGGUUGAUUCAAGUUACAUGUGUGUUAGUGUGCCCAUGUAACAGAUUGGUACAGUUACUGGUUGAUUCAAGUUACAUGUGUGUUAGUGUGCCCAUGUAACAGAUUUGUACAGUUACUGGUUGAUUCAAGUUACAUGCGUGUUAGUGUGCCCAUGUAACAGAUUGGUACAGUUACUGGUUGAUUCAAGUUACACGUGUGUGUAAGUGUGCCCAUGUAACAGAUUGGUACAGUUACUGGUUGAUUCAAGUUACAUGUGUGUAAGUGUGCCCAUGAAACAGAUUGGUACAGUAACUGAGUGAUUCGGCGAAGAUACAAAAUGGAGUCACACGACAAGAUCACAGGAAGUUGUCAUCUUCUGUAUAUGAAUACUGAGCUAUACUGGGACUUGAAGUACAACUUUGUAAUCAAAGUACGAACGAUACGGAUACAGCCUUGACAAACCCAAAGUAAUAAGAUAUUAUAAUACGUAGUCUUCAACAAGACAUUUUCCAGCGAAAACAGAACAACUUUAAAUGAGGUAUUUGUCUUUGAUUAGAGAGCUAUAUUCAGCAACCGAGAAAAGACUGUAUAAUGGCACAGGGUUUCCAGUAAUGUUGCGGUAAUAUUAGUUGUGGCUAAUAUUUAUGAUUGAGAACAAAACUAAAUUUUCAACGCUAUGUUACGUUAAAAGACUGUUUAAUUGGUUGGAUUCGAAAAAUAUUUAAGAAUAUAUUAUGAUGUGUCCAAAAUGUGCUGCUUACACUGUUUGUUUGUAUUUCGUACUUUUCAUUCCCAAAGAUAAAAAAAAAAAAUGUCGAAACUCUUAUAAACUAUAUCGUCCCACAUAGACCACUGGUAUGUUAAGUUUAGGAAGAUAUGUUAUCGUACAACUUUGAAUAAACUCUUUUUCUGUGGCGUGAAUACUGGCGA